GUUCACAGACAAGAGCUUUAAUUAAAUAUUGUGAAAGUUGAAAAGUUAUUUUACAGUUCAAAGUUAAUCAAAAAAAUGAUAAUCUUUACAGUAGUUUCAUUUCCUCUUUUUCCUUACUAUUAAUAUACAGCUCUGUGGGUCCAGUCAAAGACAAGGCUUGGUAGUGAGGAGGGCUUCAGAAUGGUGACAAAAGGACUCAAAUAACGAUGUUUUCAUUGACCAGGUGACCAGAGACGGCUGAGCGGUUACACAGUAAACCUCAAACUGAUCUGUCCCCAUCCACAAACACAGGAGAACUGAGUCACAAGGCAGAUCAACACUCAAAUCAUCAUUACACACAAGUGCAUUUUACCAGAGACUCCCUUGUCUUCAGAAUCCUCAGUUUAAAUGUCCCCCCUCCUAUAAAGUCACAUUAAAAAAUAUCCUUCAGCAAUUAAAUAAAAACAAAAUCUUCUCUUUCAAAAGGAGUGAUGGCGCGCGCAUGCACACACGCACACACGCACGCACGCACACACACACACACACACACACACACACACACACUCGCACAAGGACAAUAAAGAGUGGUCAUGUGACCCGUGUCAAACAAACAGGUGGCUCAAUUUGUGUAUAAAACGAGUGGAGGGGAAAAGCAAGAGGUCAGAAGAGGGCAGUAGAAACUGUGGAAAGUAGCAAAGGGUGUUGAGCGCUUUGUGUUUUCCGUAUUUCUGUGCAGUCACUUAGAAACGUUCCCGACCGGAUCUGUUUCACCACAACCUUUCUCCGACAGAGUCUAACCGUAGACAGAAUAUGGCUUCACCGCCGACCGGCCCCGUAGCCAUGCCAGCCUAUCCACGUCUAUGGCUACAGACGGCGGAAUAACCCUGAAGAUGAGAGAUGAAUAUGAAGGGGAGGCUUGGCUUCAGAUGAGUAGCGCAGUACACACCCCUCUCCCCCGAGCUCCCCCUGCCAUGCCCGUUCCCCCUCCAGCUGCUAAACACAUUAAAUAUUUAUCCUCUCCUCACUUCUCAGUCAUCUCGUUUCAGUGUCCUCCCCCCUUCAGUCAGCCCCCCCCCCAUCCACACACACACACACACACACAGACACGCACUUUCUCUCACACGGCUGUCGGGUUCCUACUGGCUGGGCCGUCUCUCCUGCACCACGUGGAGUGCUCACUGCGACAGGGAGAACCCGGGGAAACGGGGCUCGGUGCUCCGGGAACAGCUCCGCCCGGGCUCCUGGUCUCUACUGUAUUUUGAAGUGUGACAGCGGAGCAGUGUCGGAGUCUCUACCGAUGCCGUCGGGGCUCUGCAUUGUUAAGGCUUCUAAACUGCUGGUUCAGAUUUUGGUGAGGCAACAGACGGGAGGGUGCGUGUAAGAUGGAAGAGAUGUGGGGAUGAAUAAUAAAAGAAUCGAAGCGACGGAGGGAGUUGAAAUCCAAAGGCAAGAGGGGGGCGGUAGGGAAGUAUUUUCAUUAUUUCUUCCUGCUCCAAGCACACAGAUGCAUGGCCAGGAGGACAAACCAGUGCAUCUGGUACAAUUAAAAACAGGAUCCGUUUUGUUUUUUAAAGCCAAAAUAUCAAAGCAAAAAAAAAAAAAAGGAUAUUCAUAUGAUAUACUUAUAUACUCUCAAAAUUCUAUAUAACUAAAUACUAUAAGAAUAAU
ensembl:lncRNA